GACGAGCCACACGAACGUUAUUCGGAAUUACUGGGCUUAAAGGGUGCGUAGGCCGCGCGGAAAGUUGGGUGUGAAAUCCCUCGGCUCAACCGAGGAACUGCGCCCAAAACUACCGUGCUCGAGGAAGAUAGAGGUGAGCGGAACUUACGGUGGAGCGGUGAAAUGCGUUGAUAUCGUAAGGAACACCCGUGGCGAAAGCGGCUCACUGGGUCUUUUCUGACGCUGAUGCACGAAAGCUAGGGGAGCAAACGGG
rnacentral:rRNA from 1 species